UUAAUUCAAAUUCGCACGGAGUUGGAAUGUUUGCCUACGUUUGCCGCUAGGGGCACUGUUCCAACUACAUACAAAAUUAACUUA
rfam:Bombyx mori DNA, contig: Bm_scaf6_contig5666, strain: p50T/Dazao, build 2, whole genome shotgun sequence.